UGAGUAACCUGCCCUUCACUCAGGGAUAACUCCGGGAAACCGGGGCUAAUACUGGAUAUGACUCGAACAGGCAUCUGUUUCGGGUGGAAAGAUUUAUUGGUGGAGGAUGGACUCGCGGCCUAUCAGCUUGUUGGUGAGGUAAUGGCUCACCAAGGCGACGACGGGUAGCCGGCCUGAGAGGGCGAUCGGCCACACUGGGACUGAGACACGGCCCAGACUCCUACGGGAGCA
rnacentral:rRNA from 1 species